CCUACGGGUGGCUGCAGUGGGGAAUAUUGCACAAUGGGGGAAACCCUGAUGCAGUGACGCCUCGUGAGUGAAGAAGUAUCUCGGUACGUAAAGCUCUAUCAGCAGGGAAGAAAAUGACGGUACCUGACUCAGAAGCCCCGGCUAACUACGUGCCAGCAGCCGCGGUAAUACGUAGGGGGCAAGCGUUAUCCGGAUUUACUGGGCGUAAAGGGAGCGUCGACGGGAGCACAAGUCUGGAGUGAAAUGCCGGGGCUUAACCCAGGAACUGACUUGGAAACUGGGCGGCUGGAGUGCAGGAGGGGUAAGCGGAAUUCCUAGUGUAGCGGUGAAAUGCGUAGAUAUUAGGAAGAACACCGGUGGCGAAGGCGGCUUACUGGACUGUAACUGACGUUGAGGCUCGAAAGCGUGGGGAGCAAACAGGAUUAGAUACCCCUGUAGUC
rnacentral:rRNA from 1 species